GAGACAAGCAUAUGACUACUGGCAGGAUCAACCAGGUAGCGUUCCUUCGCGACGCCGACGCCCGCAUGACACCCGACGGGCCGUGAGGCCGCGGGCUCAAGACGGGCACGGCGGUCGUUCGCGUCGAGGGACAAAAUGCGUUGCUCGGGCAGACGGAGUCUUUUGUAACCAGACCCCACGCCCGUGCACAACGUUCCGCAUCCGAGAGAACGGGCAUAGCACACCGUGGGCCGAGGCAGCCAAGCGACUGGGCGAGGCUUGCCGGGGACACGGGGCGUGCCUCACGUCCACCCCGCAACCCGCGAGGGCUGGGGGCGGAGAGGGACGAACGGGACCGUCGGAUUCCUUUCGAUAGGUAAGCAACACAGGAUACCGAA
rnacentral:misc_RNA from 1 species